rnacentral:lncRNA from 1 species
AAAACCUUUCUCAUAUUCUCUAUUUUUCGAAUCGGUUAUUGCAUAAUACUCCAAUAUCUUGUCUAUGUAUGAAGCCUAAGAUAGUGUUAUCACUGUUUUCUUUUGAUCCCAUAGGAUUCGAAUACUUAGAACAAAAUUAGCUUCUCCCAAGUCCUUCAUGCUAAAUUGUUGGGUUAACCAUAAUUUAACCGUUGACCAUGUCCUUACAUCAUUUACAAUGAGUAAAAUGUCAUCAACAUAUAAAACGAGAAAGACCAUCUUUC